CAGCAGCCACGGUAAUACGAAGGGUGCAAGCGUUAAUCGGAAUUACUGGGCGUAAAGCGUGCGUAGGCGGUGGGUUAAGUCUGCUGUGAAAUCCCCGGGCUCAACCUGGGAAUGGCAGUGGAUACUGGUUCGCUAGAGUGUGUCAGAGGAUGGUGGAAUUCCCGGUGUAGCGGUGAAAUGCGUAGAGAUCGGGAGGAACAUCAGUGGCGAAGGCGGCCAUCUGGGACAACACUGACGCUGAGGCACGAAAGCGUGGGGAGCAAACAGGAUUAGAUACCCCGGUAGUCCCUGUCUCUUAUAC
rnacentral:rRNA from 1 species